rnacentral:rRNA from 1 species
UACGUAGGGGGCAAGCGUUGUCCGGAUUUAUUGGGCGUAAAGAGCGUGUAGGCGGCUAGGUAGGUGGGUUGUGAAAACUGGAGGCUCAACCUUCAGACGUCGACCCAAACCCCCCUGGCUAGAGUCCGGAAGAGGAGAGUGGAAUUCCUGGUGUAGCGGUGAAAUGCGCAGAUAUCAGGAAGAACACCAAUGCGAAAGCGGCUCUCUGGAACGGUACUGACGCUGAGACGCGAAAGCGUGGGGAGCGAACAGG